rnacentral:tRNA from 1 species
GCCCAGGGGGCGGAAUGGUAGACGCGCACGUUUCAGGUGCGUGUGACGAGAGGCAUGCAGGUUCGAGUCCUGUUCUGGGCGCCA